CAAGAAGCAGUCCAGGAGAGGGGACCAAGGAAGGUCCUGAAACCAGCUGAAACUAGCUUCAUUUAAUUGUGACAAGAACUUCUAUCAUGGUGGUUCUUUCAAAGGAGGAUGUGGGCCAAGAAUUUCUUCAACUGGAGUCAAAAGUGUUAGGAAAACCAAGGCAGGCCAAAAAAAGGAAAGAAGAUGAUAACAGAACAAAUGAAAGCCAAAGCAAGUGAAAAAAUAAACCUGGAACCAAAAGAGACAUGACUUCUAUCUGGAGACCAUAAAGAGACUAACAGCUACCUGAGAAAAGGAAGGAGGGUAUGAAGUGAUAAGCUGCCCAAGAAGAUGGUGCCAAAGAAUGAUGAGAAAAUAGCGAGUAUGGCAUUUUAGUAAGGAAAACCAUGUCCAUUUGCGUAGGAAGAAUGUAUUUGUCUGAGACUCGCUGAUUUGAUCUAGAGAACUGUGGAGAAGAAAGGAAGCAAACUGCCAAGGCAAAGAAAGCAACAGGCUGACAGAGACAGGUAUAUAAUAGUAGAAAGGUCCAGUUAUUUUCAAGGGAAAAUAAGUGAGAAGUGUAGCAGAAAUGAUAUUUGGUCUCAGAUAUCUAUAUACCAAUGUACAAAGAAUAGGCAGAAUUAA